UGAACGGCUACCACAUCCAGGAGGCAGCAGGCGCGCAAAUUACCCAAUCCUGACACGGGGAGGUAGUGACAAUAAAUAACAUUUCCGGGCACAUCGUGUCUGGAAAAUGGAAUGAGUACAAUCUAAAUCCCUUAACGAGUAUCAAUUGGAGGGCAAGUCUGGUGCCAGCAGCCGCGGUAAUUCCAGCUCCAAUAGCGUAUAUUUAAGUUGUUGCAGUUAAAAAGCUCGUAGUUGGAUUUCGGGUGGGUUCUAGCGGUCCGCUUCGGUGAGUACUGCUAUGGCCUUCCUUUCUACGGGGGACGGGCUCCUGGGAUUCACUUCUCGGGAUCCGGAUUCCGUGAUGAUACUUUGAGUAAAUUGGAGUGUUCAAAGCAAGCCUGCGCUCUGAACAUUUUAGCAUGGAAUAUCACGAUAGGACUCUGGCCUAUCUUGUUGGUCUGUAGGACCAGAGUAAUGAUUAAGAGGGACAGUCGGGGGCAUUCGUAUUUCAUUGUCAGAGGUGAAAUUCUUGGAUUUAUGAAAGACGAACUACUGCGAAAGCAUUUGCCAAGGAUGUUUUCAUUAAUCAAGAACGAAAGUUGGGGGCUCGAAACGAUUAGAUACCGUCGUAGUCUCAACCAUAAACGAUGCCGACUAGGAUUAGCAGACGUUUCAUUGAUGACUCUGCUAGCACCUUAUGUGAAAACAAAGUUUUUGGGUUCCGGGGGAGUAUGGUCGCAGGCUGAAACUUAAAGGAAUUGACGGAGGCACCACCGUGGAGCCUGCGGCUUAAUUUGACUCACACGGGAAAACUUACCCCAGACAUAGUGAGGAUUGACAGAUUGAGAGCUCUUUCUUGAUUCUAUGGGGGGGCAUGGUUCUUAUUGGGGGCCUUGUCAUCUAACGAACAACCAGCUCUAAACCAUGCGUGCUGUAGAUUUUAGAAGCCUUGAAAACG
rnacentral:rRNA from 1 species